GUGGUUUAAUUCGAAGCAACGCGAAGAACCUUACCAGGUCUUGACAUCCCGAUGACCGGUUCGUAAUGGAACCUUCUCUUCGGAGCAUUGGAGACAGGUGGUGCAUGGUUGUCGUCAGCUCGUGUCGUGAGAUGUUGGGUUAAGUCCCGCAACGAGCGCAACCCUUAUCCUCAGUAGCCAGCAGGUAAAGCUGGGCACUCUGUGGAGACUGCCAGGGAUAACCUGGAGGAAGGUGGGGAUGACGUCAAAUCAUCAUGCCCCUUAUGAUCUGGGCUACACACGUGCUACAAUGGCGUAAACAAAGGGAGGCAAAGCCGCGAGGUGGAGCAAAUCCCAAAAAUAACGUCUCAGUUCGGACUGCAGUCUGCAACUCGACUGCACGAAGCUGGAAUCGCUAGUAAUCGCGAAUCAGAAUGUCGCGGUGAAUACGUUCCCGGGUCUUGUACACACCGCCCGUCACACCAUGGGAGUUGGUAACGCCCGAAGUCAGUGACCCAACCUUUCAGGAGGGAGCUGCCGAAGGCGGGACUGAUAACUGGGGUGAAGUCGUAACAAGGUAGCCGUAUCGGAAGGUGCGGCUGGAUCACCUCCUUUCUAAGGAA
rnacentral:rRNA from 1 species